GUCGCGAUCAGAAUGAAAGGUAGUUCACUGGGUCUGUCUGGCCCGGAGGUGCUGGUUCGAGUCCAGCUCGCGACA
rnacentral:tRNA from 1 species